rnacentral:rRNA from 1 species
AUCACUACGCUAGAUGCAUAUCAAUAAGCGGAGGAAAAGAAACUAACAAGGAUUCCCUUAGUAACGGCGAGUGAAGCGGGAAGAGCUCAAAUUUGAAAUCUUCAAGGUUUUACCUUGACGAAUUGUAGUUUAAAGAAGUGUUUUCUGUUGAAGUUUUGGUAAAAGUUCUUUGGAAUAGGACAUCAUAGAGGGUGAGAAGUCCCGUAUUUGACCAUUAUUUUCAGCUGUGUGAUACACUUUCAAAGAGUCGGAUUGUUUGGGAAUGCAGUCCAAAAUGGGUGGUAAAUUUCAUCUAAAGCUAAAUAUUGGCGAGAGACCGAUAGCGAACAAGUACCGUGAGGGAAAGAUGAAAAGAACUUUGAAAAGAGAGUUAAACAGUACGUGAAAUUGUCAAAAGGGAAGCGUUUGACACCAGUGUUGUUUUCUCGAAAAUCAAUUAAAAAAAGUUGGAUUUUGUGUUGUAUUGACCUUAACAGCUUUCUGCACUCUUUUCCUGCUUUUUUUAAUGCACUUUUCGUUUAACAAGUCAACAUCAGUUUCUUUUGUUGUAAAAGGGUCAUUGGAAGGUAGCUUUCUUUUCGGAGAAAGUGUUUAUAGCCUUUGAUCUCUGCAAUCGGAGAGACUGAGGUCUGCAGCGUAGAUCCUUCGGGGCUAGAUACAUUUGUGCUAAGUUAUAACAUUUUAUAGACAACUUGUUGACUAUGAUUUAGUCAUUGUAGCUUACUCGCUUAUGUUAUUUUACCUACGCUUAGGAUGUUGACGCAUGAGAUAUACGC